UGCGGCUCCGGCCUCAUCUUCAGACCCUGCGGCAGCAGCGGCUACGACUGCGGCUGCGGGCCAGACCCCGGCCUCCGCGAAAGCCUCUGCGCAGACCCCGGCGCCCCCACUGACUGGUCCUGCUCUCCCAGGGCCCUUCCCUGGUGGCCCCGUGGUCAGGCUGCACCCAGUCAUUUUGGCCUCCAUCGUGGACAGCUACGAGCGACGAAACGAGGGAGCUGCCCGUGUUAUCGGGACCCUGCUGGGAAGUGUUGACAAGCACUCAGUGGAGGUCACCAAUUGCUUUUCAGUGCCACAUAAUGAGUCAGAAUAUGAAGUGGCUGUUGACAUGGAAUUUGCUAAGAACAUGUAUGAAUUGCACAAAAAAGUCUCUCCAAAUGAGCUCAUCCUGGGCUGGUACGCUACAGGCCACGACAUCACAGAGCACUCUGUGCUGAUCCAUGAGUACUACAGCCGGGAAGCCCCCAACCCCAUUCACCUCACUGUGGACACAAGUCUCCAGAACGGCCACAUGAGCAUCAAAGCCUAAGACAGCACUUUAAUGGGUGUCCCUAGAUGGACCAUGGGAGUGAUGUUCACACCUCUGACAGUGAAAUAUGCAUAUUAUGACACUGAACGCAUUGGUGUUGACCUGAUCAUGAAGACCUGUUUUAGUCCCAACCGAGUGAUCGGACUCUCAAGUGACUUGCAGCAAGUAGGAGGGGCAUCAGCUCGCAUCCAGGAUGCCUUAAGCACAGUGUUGCAGUAUGCAGAGGAUGUGCUGUCUGGAAAGGUGUCAGCUGACAAUACUGUGGGUCGCUUCUUGAUGAGCCUGGUUAACCAAGUACCCAAAAUAGCUCCUGACGACUUCCAGACCAUGCUCAACAGCAACAUCAAUGACCUGCUGAUGGUGAUCUACCUGGCCAAUCUCACACAGUCUCAGAUUGCCCUCAAUGAAAAGCUUGUAAACCUGUGAAUAGGCCCCAGGCAGAACUCCUGCCAGUCUGGGUCUCACCCUAGGACUCAGUAUGAAGUGAAGGCGAAAUGGUUUCUUUGUGCUCUUGAGUCACACUGAGCCAGUCAGCUGCUAGUGACUCUAAUAAACAUGGCCUACCUUUUGUAAAU